UACGUAGGGACCAAGCGUUGUUCGGAUUUACUGGGCGUAAAGGGCGCGUAGGCGGCGUGGUAAGUCACUUGUGAAAUCUCUGAGCUUAAACUCAGAACGGCCAAGUGAUACUGCUGUGCUAGAGUGCAGAAGGGGCAAUCGGAAUUCUUGGUGUAGCGGUGAAAUGCGUAGAUAUCAAGAGGAACACCUGAGGUGAAGACGGGGUUGCUGGGCUGACACUGACGCUGAUGCGCGAAAGCCAGGGGAGCAAACGGG
rnacentral:rRNA from 1 species